rnacentral:rRNA from 1 species
CGUACUGUUGGUUAUGUACGUCCAAUCCUGUAGAGAGCUCCUAUAGGCAAAUCCGUAGGAGAGUCUCAAGAGGUGAUGGGGAGCGAAAAAUAAGUAGUGAAGUAGCUGAAUCCAUACUGCCAAGAAAAGCCUCUAUCGAGUAUGUAAAUACCCGUACCGCAAACCAACACAGGUAGGCGAGGAGAAAAUCCUAAGACGUUCGGAAGAACCCUUGUUAAGGAACUAGGCAAAAUAACCCCGUAACUUCGGGAGAAGGGGUGCCGACUAAGGUGAAGCACUUGCUGCGUAAGCUUUAGUUGGCCGCAGUGAAUAGGCCCAAGCGACUGUUUACCAAAAACAUAGGUCUCUGCUAAGUCGAAAGACGAUGUAUAGGGGCUGACACCUGCCCGGUGCUGGAAGGUUAAGGGGAAGAGUUAGCGUAUGCGAAGCUCAGAACUUAAGCCCCAGUAAACGGCGGCCGUAACUAUAACGGUCCUAAGGUAGCGAAAUUCCUUGUCGGGUAAGUUCCGACCCGCACGAAAGGUGUAACGACUUGGGCACUGUCUCAACAAGGGAUCCGGUGAAAUUGUAGUACUCGUGAAGAUGCGAGUUACCCGCGACAGGACGGAAAGACCCCGUGGAGCUUUACUGUAGGCUGACAUUGGAUUUCGGUAUUGCUUGUACAGCAUAGGUGGGAGACUAAGAUACCAGGGCGCUAGCUUUGGUGGAGUCAUCAUUGGGAUACCACUCUUGCAAUGCUGAAGUUCUAACCAGAG